rnacentral:rRNA from 1 species
UGAAUACGAGACGCUAAGGCGUCGAAGUAGUGUAUGUCAUACUUCCAAGAAAAGCUUGCACUGUCAUAGAUAAAAAACGCCUGUACCAUAACCGACACAGGUGGGUAGGUAGAGUAUACUAAGGGGCGCGAGAUAACUCUCUCUAAGGAACUCGGCAAAAUAACUCCGUAACUUCGGGAGAAGGAGUGCCUUAUUUAUAAGGCUGCAAUAACAAGAUCCAAGCAACUGUUUAUCAAAAGCACAGGUCUCCGCUAAGUCGUAAGACGAUGUAUGGGGGCUGACGCCUGCCCAGUGCCAGAAGGUUAAAGAAGUUGGUUAGCUUUUGCGAAGCUGAUAACUGAAGCCCUGGUGAACGGCGGCCGUAACAAUAACGGUCCUAAGGUAGCGAAAUUCCUUGUCGGGUAAGUUCCGACCCGCACGAAAGGCGUAAUGAUUUGGAUACUGUCUCGGAGAGGGGCUCGGUGAAAUAGACUUGUCUGUGAAGAUGCGGACUACCUGCACCAGGACAGAAAGACCCUAUGAAGCUUUACUGUAACUUGAAAUUGAAAUUGGACUUUAUUCGCGCAGCAUAGGUGGGAGGCGUUGAUUAUAAUCUCGUGGGAUUAUUGGAGCCAUCAGUGAGAUACCACUCUUGUAAUGUUAGAUUUCUAACUUUGAAUCAUUAUCUGGUCAAAGAACAGUUUCAGGCGGGCAGUUUGACUGGGGCGGUCGCCUCCUAAACGGUAACGGAGGCGUACAAAGGUUUCCUCUGAACGGUUAGAAAUCGUAUCUAGAGUGUAAAGGCAUAAGGAAGCUUGACUGUGAGACCUACAAGUCGAGCAGGGACGAAAGUCGGUCUUAGUGAUCUGACGGUACUGAGUGGAAAGGCCGUCACUCAACGGAUAAAAGUUACUCUAAGGAUAACAGGCUGAUCUCCCCCAAGAGUUCACAUCGACGGGGAGGUUUGGCACCUCGAUGUCGGCUCAUCGCAUCCUGGCGCGGUAGUACGUCCCAAGGGUUGGGCUGUUCGCCCAUGAAAGCGGUACGCGAGCUGGGUUCAGAACGUCGUGAGACAGUUCGGUCCAUAUCCGGUGUAGGCGUUAGAAUAUUGAGAGGAGCCUUCUUUAGCACAAGAGGACCGAGAAGGACAUACCUCUGGUGUACCAGUUAUCGUGCCAACGGUAAACGCUGGGUAGCUAUGUAUGGAGUGGAUAACCGCUGAAAGCAUCUAAGUGGGAAGCCCACCUCAAGAUAAGUAUUCUCAC